UACGUAGGUGGCAAGCGUUGUCCGGAUUUACUGGGCGUAAAGAGCGCGCAGGCGGUCGUACAAGUCGCGUGUGAAAGCCCCGGCUCAACUGGGGAGGGUCACGCGAUACUGUUCGACUCGAAGGCAGGAGAGGGAAGCGGAAUUCCCGGUGUAGUGGUGAAAUGCGUAGAUAUCGGGAGGAACACCAGUGGCGAAGGCGGCUUCCUGGCCUGGUUCUUGACGCUGAGGCGGCG
rnacentral:rRNA from 1 species